rnacentral:rRNA from 1 species
CCCUUAGAUGUUCUGGGCUGCACGCGUGCUACACUGAUAUUGCCAAUAUGUCAUUCUUAUCCGAAAUGGAUUGGGUAAUCAAGUAAUGAAAUUUCAUGCUUGGAAUCGGUAAUUGCAAUUUUAUCGUGAACGAGGAAUUCCUAGUAAGCACUAGUCAUCAGCUAAUGUUGAUUAUGUCCCUGCCCUUUGUACACACCGCCCGUCGCUACUACCGAUUGAAUGGUUUAGUGAGGCCUUCGGAUCCGCGACUCGUUUUGUGGAGAAGUUGGACAAACUCAGUCAUUUAGAGGAAGUAAAAGUCGUAACA